rnacentral:rRNA from 1 species
CCUACGGCGGGCAGCAGUGGGGAAUAUUGCACAAUGGGGGAAACCCUGAUGCAGCGACGCCGCGUGAGUGAAGAAGUAAUUCGUUAUGUAAAGCUCUAUCAGCAGGGAAGAAAAUGACGGUACCUGAGUAAGAAGCCCCGGCUAACAACGUGCCAGCACGCGCGGUUAUACGUAGGGGGCAAGCGUUAUCCGGAUUGACUGGGUGUUAAGGGAGCGUAGACGGCAUUGCAAGACUGGAGUGAAAGGCGCGGGCUCAACCCGCGCGAUGCUCUGGAAACGGUACGGCUGGAGUGCAGGAGAGGUAAGUGGAAUUCGUCGUGUAGCGGUGAAAUGCGUAGAUAUUAGGAGGAACACCGGUGGCGAAGGCGGCUUACUGGAGUGUAACUGACGUUGAGGCUCGAAAGCGUGGGUAGCAAACAGGAUUAGAUACCCUUGUAGUC